rnacentral:miRNA from 1 species
AAUAUUCGACGUCAUAAACACGAUCAACUUAGGUGUUUAUGACGUCAACGUUAUAAGCACGAUCAGCUUUGGUGUUUAUGACGUCGAUAUUCGACGUCAUAAACACGAUCAACUUAGGUGUUUAUGACGUCGACGUUAUAGACACGAUCAACUUAGGUGUUUAUGACGUGGAUAUU